UCUCCAUCUCCUUGCCCGUGUGUCAUUGUAUGCCGCAGAAUUGCCACCGCUGCGUCGUGAAUUGUCAUUGUAUGCCGCACACCAAUCACGAUUCUUAGCUUUGCGUGUAGUAUAUCGAUCCCUUGCUUAAGUUCCCAAUAAUAGUCUGAUUUGGUUUUCAUGGGGUUCUGGAGUUUCUUCGAUUCUGGGAUCUUCCUUCGGCGUGGGAAGGUAGAGAGGAGGUCAGAUCCCUUCUCAAUCUCUCUCUCUCUUUUUGUAUUUCAGGCAUCUGGACUACUAUACCACACAGUUGCUGACUUUGAUUUACAGUUUUACACAGGGAUUGCAUGUCCCGUGCUGUGCUGUGCUAGGGGUGGUAAAAGGUCUUAAUUAAAAUUUUGCCAAAAUAUUCUAAGGGCCGAGUCUGAAAAGGGUCGGACUCUAGUAGUACAAUUUUGAGAUAAAAAUUAAUAAGCUAAGGGACCUGUUGGAUUGCGAAGAGACUUCGAGCCAUGAUUGGUUACCCCUUCUCCGCAUUUAUUUCUUUAAUUGAGCCAAUUUAUAUGAUGAUUUAGGAACAAUUCUGUUGGGGGUCGCACUGCCACAGCUGAAACAGGUACUUAAUUAUGCACUGUUAUAAUUUGGUAUUUUCGUUUUAAUUUGUUGUGGUGCGUACAGUUCAUAUCAUUCUGUAGGUUUGUUAUUCUUGAUGUCAUGCACAACAUGUACAUCAGGCUCUCAGCAUUAAUUUGCCAAAAUUAUCAUUGUCUGCAAUUUCGGGAAGAGGCAUAUACAUAUAUACUCGGUGAGGAUCCGAGGGUGGCUCUCUUUAUCUGAUCAUCAUGCGAAGCCAAGCAGGAAGAAAGGCCGCCACUCUUCUUGGGCUGUAUGUAUGAGCAACGCCAGUACAGUAAUGGAUGGAUUUGCAACCUCUGCUGGGAGCUUGUGAGUUUGCUUAUCUUACUAUCUAUCAUCAGUUAGAUCAUGAGCUGUAGUAUACAUGAGGUAAGUCAAGUCUGUCUCUGCGGACCCGGACUAUGUGAUAUAGUGCCAGUGGCCAGUUAUGCUGUCAUCGUGAUGCGCUUGCAGCACGCUGGAGGUGCUUGGUGCGGUUGAGUGCAGUGCAUACAGCUGAAAUAUCAAGCAGCUGCCACCUUGACCUUGGCUCCACACUGAUGUUACUUAAUCGACAUGGUACCAGUAUGCUGAUGAGGAUGCCCCUCGAUUUGAUGAUUCGCCAGAUGAUGUGGACUCAGCAGAUUGUAACCUAUUCAUCAAGUUUGAAGUCAUAUAGGCUCAUAUAUAGCUGAUACACUCCAGACCUUUUGCUCUUCACUUUUACACGUGCAUUCACAUUUGUAGCUCCAGCCUUCCAGAGAACGGUAGGGGGCUAGGGGCUAGGUUGCUGGACAAGUGUGUAGAGACACACUGUUGCAUUCAUGACGUCUCGUACUUAUCUCUUCAAUGAGAUCUGCCCUACUCAUCUUCGGAGUUCUUCAUCUGUAAACGCUCUUGACAGUUAACAGCUGUGUCUGUGCACAAAGUAUGUGUUUCAUCUCUUAGGCAUGUUUUUUGCUCGUA